AGUGAACGCUGGCGGUAGGCCUAACACAUGCAAGUCGAACGGCAGCACAGUAAGAUCUUGCUCUUACGGGUGGCGAGUGGCGGACGGGUGAGGAAUACAUCGGAAUCUACUUUUUCGUGGGGGAUAACGUAGGGAAACUUACGCUAAUACAGCAUACGACCUACGGGUGAAAGCAGGGGAUCUUCGCACUUUGCGCGAUUGAAUGAGCCGAUGUCGGAUUAGCUAGUUGGCGGGGUAAAGGCCCACCAAGGCGACGAUCCGUAGCUGGUCUGAGAGGAUGAUCAGCCACACUGGAACGGAGACACGGUCCAGACUCCUACGGGAGGCAGCAGUGGGGAAUAUUGGACAAUGGGCGCAAGCCUGAUCCAGCCAUACCGCGUGGGUGAAGAAGGCCUUCGGGUUGUAAAGCCCUUUUGUUGGGAAAGAAAAGCAGCAGGUUAAUACCCCGCUGUUCUGACGGUACCCAAAGAAUAAGCACCGGCUAACUUCGUG
rnacentral:rRNA from 1 species